GCAAACGUUUGUCUUAUCAGUGUUCUUCUUAACGAGGUUUCACUGUAAUUAUAGUAAUUAGUGGCUCAUCUCGGCGAAACGGGCACCAUUUCCGCACUGGAGCUUCGUGGUGAAAUAUUUUCACUGCAGCGCUAGCGCUAGAUCAGUAGAUGUAGUUUCUUCAGUUUUUCAUGUUACAGGCAGCUUGUAGACGAGUUGUUGUAGGCAGCGAGGUGGUGUUACAGUUAGUUCGGCGUCUGCUGCUUCGUGUCAAAGUUUGUUUGGGUGCAGGCUGUGUAAGAAUCUGUGUGUUAGCUAAAGGGUUUCAUUGAAGUUUCCUACUGGCUCGGAGGCUCCAUUCGACUGCUCUAUACCGUCACGACGUCGAGAACUGCUACAGCCUAUCCACCUACGACGUUCAAAGUCGUGUCCAGGAUUCAAGCAAACCGUGAUAGACUCCUGGCUGCAGGAGCGCUCGCCACUGGACGUUCAUCGUCCCCGUUUGUCAUGGUGUUCCAGUAAUUCUGGAUGGUGACUGACGUCCGUGACUUUUGUUGUUGUCGCAGUUAUGGCUACAGCAGAGAACCACGCGGUCAACACAUGGCCAUGGUCAAGCCAGAUGUUCCGCAAGUGGAUCCCACGCCUCCAAGCAGCGCUCAGCUGCGAUGCAAUUCGUGUGGAAUGCUGUGCCAAGCGGUUGAUCUCCGAUGCGCAGAAGAAGGAAUUGAUGGCGAUAAAAGAUUCGGCCAAACACAAUGACCGACUGCUAGAUAUGCUGAGCAGGGGUACAGCUGAGACUUUCCACACCUUCUGUAGUAUUGUGCGUAGAACCGAACCUAAAGCAAACUUUUCAAAGUUCCUAGAUGACAUGCAGUCAGUGGAUACCUUUGUUGGAGGUAAGUAGAAAUGUUAUCAGUCAGGUGACUGAGAGACACUCACAGAAUUGUACAUAGGGGGUGUAGCUCAACCAUCUGUGGUGUAGUGACCAUGUACCACCGGCAACCUCAUAGCCGCCAUUUUGCCUGUUAAGACUAUGUAGUAGCUAUGACGACCAUUUUCUGGUGUACUGACCGGACUAUGCUGACUAUACAGGAGCUACACACCUGCCUGUACAUGUACAGACAAUACUGCAUGUCCUUGAGUUGCUUUGCUACAUAUCUGUACAGUGCAUAUUGAUGGCACCAACCUGCGUUGAAGUUUUGCAAAGGUGCU